ACUUAUUGUUUGUAUGGUUUUCCGCAAAAAAAAUCUCGUUCGCGUUAUUUGGAAAAUCAUAACGCUGGGCAUAUACCCUUAACUUUGGAAAUUGCAAUUGGAGUUUUUGACAUUUAUGCACCUGACCCACUACCAGAUUUUAAUUCAUAUAAAAUAGAGUCAAUUACAGGUGAUAUGGAGCAAUUUUUGCUUAACCUUAUACAAUUGCUUCCAAAACAAAAUGAUAUACAUUUUCAAAUUCAAAACAUAGACGACUUUAUAUCAGGAGCACGUAAGGAUCUGUCCAAAGAUUCACUAUUAUUGCGAUUACCAUUCAAAGUGAAAAAUAUUUACUACUUGCUGGCAGAUUAUUACUUUAAAAGUCGCGAUUUCUUAAAAGCUAUUAAGUACUAUAUUACCGAUCUGGCUGUAAAUUUGAACCGAUUUGAUUCCUGGGCUGGAAUAUCAUUAUCAAAAGCGAGCAUUGUUGAGACACAAAUAAAUGGUCUGGACCCAUUAGAUUCUAACCUGGUGCUGAUGGAAUCUGAUAACGUUAUCCGCUGUUUUGGAAAAUGUGUUAGCCUUCUUGAAAACCAUUCUUUGGUUUGGAUUGAGUAUGGAUCAUUUGCUUAUCUAAUAAGUUCUUAUUGCUCAAGAACUUUAAAGAACACAACUUUAGAGAAAUCUCCCAGGUAUGUGCAAGUA